rnacentral:hammerhead_ribozyme from 1 species
CACUGGUCGAGAGUUGGCGCCACUCUCCUGAUGAGUCCAAGGCAGGGACGAAACAAGUG